UACGUAGGGGGCUAGCGUUAUCCGGAAUUACUGGGCGUAAAGGGUGCGUAGGUGGUUUCUUAAGUCAGAGGUGAAAGGCUACGGCUCAACCGUAGUAAGCCUUUGAAACUGAGGAACUUGAGUGCAGGAGAGGAGAGUGGAAUUCCUAGUGUAGCGGUGAAAUGCGUAGAUAUUAGGAGGAACACCAGUUGCGAAGGCGGCUCUCUGGACUGUAACUGACACUGAGGCACGAAAGCGUGGGGAGCAAACAGG
rnacentral:rRNA from 1 species